UCCACUAAUGAGUCAAUGACAGCUCUACGAGGGCUGCUGUAAUGAAGCACCACAAACUGCCUGGUUUAAAAUGGGAGAAUCCAUUAUCUCACAUCCGGAGAGCUGCACAUUCAAUAUUAAGGUAGGACAGUGAGCACCAUCAAAGCAUCAGCCUGCGGGCUCAUUUCAAUCUGACCUGCUCUGCUUGCCCGCCUACGCCUUCAUUCACAGCGGAGAGCCAUUAUUUCAGUUCAGUGCUGUGGAUGGAGAAAAAAGUUGAUUUGGUGUCUACUCUUCAGAUGUGCAUGCUUGAAUUUGGUAAUCAGAUUGACUGAUCUAAAAACAACAAUAUGGAGUAUAUGAACCAUUGAACUCCUACAAUCUUGUACGGUGAAGCUCUGCAACAAUGUCUGGCCCAUAGCGGGAGUGCCUGUCUGUCCCUCAGUUGCAAAGAUUCUUGUUUUCCAUACUGGCUUCUUCCAGGCCUGGCCCUGUGUGACUGCCUAUGCUAUUUCUACCUAACUCAGCUGCCUACAACAUUUUGCCUGAAAUCAGUCAGGUACAAAGACAUUUCUUGGACAGCAUUUCCUGAAAAAAAUAUUUUAAAAG